rnacentral:rRNA from 1 species
ACACGUAGGCAACCUGCCCUCAAGCUUGGGACAACUACCGGAAACGGUAGCUAAUACCGAAUACUUGUUUUCUUCGCCUGAAGAGAACUGGAAAGACGGAGCAAUCUGUCACUUGGGGAUGGGCCUGCGGCGCAUUAGCUAGUUGGUGAGGUAACGGCUCACCAAGGCGACGAUGCGUAGCCGACCUGAGAGGGUGAUCGGCCACACUGGGACUGAGACACGGCCCAGACUCCUACGGGAGGCAGCAGUAGGGAAUCUUCCGCAAUGGGCGAAAGCCUGACGGAGCAAUGCCGCGUGAGUGAUGAAGGUUUUCGGAUCGUAAAGCUCUGUUGCCAGGGAAGAACGCUUGGGAGAGUAACUGCUCUCAAGGUGACGGUAC